AUUGAACGCUGGCGGCAGGCUUAACACAUGCAAGUCGAGCGAGCGGCGGACGGGUGAGUUAUGUCUGGGAAACUGACUGAUGGAGGGGGAUAACUACUGGAAACGGUAGCUAAUACCGCAUACCAUCAGAUGAACCCAUCUUGUAUUAGCUAGUAGGUGAGGUAACGGCUUACCAAGGCGACGAUCCCUAGCUGGUCUGAGAGGAUGAGCAGCCACACUGGGACUGAGACACGGCCCAGACUCCUACGGGAGGCAGCAGUGGGGAAUAUUGCACAUUGGGCGCAAGCCUGAUGCAGCCAUGCCGCGUGGAUGAAGAAGGCCUUCGGGUUGUAAAGUACUUUCAGUCGGGAGGCGUUACCGACAGAAGAAGCACCGGCUAACUCCGUGCCAGCAGCCGCGGUAAUAC
rnacentral:rRNA from 1 species